rnacentral:rRNA from 1 species
GCAGGCUUAACACAUGCAAGUCGAGGGGUAUAGGUUUUCGGACCUAGAGACCGGCGCACGGGUGCGUAACGCGUAUGCAAUCUACCUUUUACAGAGGGAUAGCCCAGAGAAAUUUGGAUUAAUACCUCAUAGUAUUAUUGAAUGGCAUCAUUUAAUAAUUAAAGUCACAACGGUAAAAGAUGAGCAUGCGUCCCAUUAGCUUGUUGGUAAGGUAACGGCUUACCAAGGCAACGAUGGGUAGGGGUCCUGAGAGGGAGAUCCCCCACACUGGUACUGAGACACGGACCAGACUCCUACGGGAGGCAGCAGUGAGGAAUAUUGGUCAAUGGGCGCAAGCCUGAACCAGCCAUGCCGCGUGCAGGAUGACGGUCCUAUGGAUUGUAAACUGCUUUUGUACAGGAAGAAACAGUUCUACGUGUAGAACCUUGACGGUACUGUAAGAAUAAGGAUCGGCUAACUCCGUGCCAGCAGCCCGC